rnacentral:misc_RNA from 1 species
GUAAGACAACAAGCUAUAUAUAAGUUACAUAUAUGAUCAUAUAAGUAGUUGCUCAGUCAGUAAGCAUCCUCUGCUAUCCUCCUCCAGCUCCAGCUCCAACUCAAUACUAGUACGGUGGAGAUGGAUGAUGAUAAUGAUCAUAACUAUACGGUGGAGGAGAAGGACGAGGUGGUGGUGGUGGCCCUAGAGGUGGUGCAGGGGGCGGAGGUGGAGGAGCAUAAUCGUUGACAAGUACAACUACUGGAGGAGGAUAAGGCGGUGGUGG